rnacentral:rRNA from 1 species
ACACGCUGGCGGCAGGCCUAACACAUGCAAGUCGAGCGCCCCGCAAGGGGAGCGGCGGACGGGUGAGUAACGCGUGGGAACGUGCCUCUUGCUACGGAAUAGCCUCGGGAAACUGGGAGUAAUACCGUAUGUGCCCUACGGGGGAAAGAUUUAUCGGCAAGAGAUCGGCCCGCGUUGGAUUAGGUAGUUGGUGGGGUAAUGGCCUACCAAGCCGACGAUCCAUAGCUGGUUUGAGAGGAUGAUCAGCCACACUGGGACUGAGACACGGCCCAGACUCCUACGGGAGGCAGCAGUGGGGAAUCUUAGACAAUGGGCGCAAGCCUGAUCUAGCCAUGCCGCGUGAGCGAUGAAGGCCUUAGGGUUGUAAAGCUCUUUCAGUGGGGAAGAUAAUGACUGUACCCACAGAAGAAGCCCCGGCUAACUCCGUG